rnacentral:rRNA from 1 species
UACGUAGGGUCCGAGCGUUGUCCGGAAUUAUUGGGCGUAAAGAGCUCGUAGGCGGUCUGUUGCGUCCGCUGUGAAAACUCGGGGCUUAACCCCGAGCCUGCAGUGGAUACGGGCAGACUAGAGGUAGGUAGGGGAGAAUGGAAUUCCCGGUGUAGCGGUGAAAUGCGCAGAUAUCGGGAGGAACACCGGUGGCGAAGGCGGUUCUCUGGGCCUUACCUGACGCUGAGAGCGAAAGCGUGGGGAGCGAACAGG